rnacentral:snRNA from 1 species
UCCGGAACCGGGACGUGG